GGCCUCCCAAUUCUUACCACAGGCUGUGUUCUUUACACUGACUGUAUAGAAAGAGGAGGUACAGUAAAUGCACCGAAUAUACACCUGAACCCUUGCCCUUUGCCUGGUCUGUAUUGUGAAUUGGGGGACAAAA